AUGUCCCAUCAUUCUGUCCGGACCGGACGGGCCUAUCACCUAUGCCCUGGCUACUUGCUCCCACUCCCACGUCGGAAAGAGCCGAGCGGCGCCAUCAUCCACUCCGAUCCCACUCCCACUCGCGGGAGAGAACGACAGGAGAAACGCAACACGAUCUCCGCCGUCGUCGUCUCAUCUGAUCUCGGAGAGAGGAGGUGGUACGCUGACGCCGCACGAGAGCUGUAUCCGUCUGGUUGGCUCUGCAUCGUCGUGCCAUCCAUACAUACCCUUCUUUUACUUUCAGAGACGCGUGCAGCUUGGCUCGGGUUGGCCGUUGGCCUGGACGCACACGGUGCUCUUUUGCUUUCACGCGAAGCCAAAUCCCUUUUCGCGGCGGGGCGUCGCCAUCGCGUCCCGUCGCGUCGGCACGCCGUGAAACCAACCGUGGCCUGGCCGGCGCCCGCGCGCGUUUUUCCUUUCCGGUGGAGCGUACGCAACGUACGUCGCGGCAGGGAAAACCGUCGCGAAAUCUACCGCGUGGAUGCAUCUUUUCACCCGCAGCAUGCAUCGAUCGCCAUGGUUUCGCCUCAAAUCCCGCGGUUGAUUACUGAGGUAUUCGGCGGCUGCUGCAAUGCCCGUCACACGAGAAACCGUGAUUUGGACGCAGGCCAGCCUAGCUAA
rnacentral:rRNA from 1 species